rnacentral:tRNA from 3 species
AGCGAAGUAGCUCAGUCGGUCAGAGCGCGGCACUCAUAACGCCGAGGUCAAGGGUUCGAUCCCCUUUUUCGCUACCA